AGUGAACGCUGGCGGUAGGCCUAACACAUGCGAGUCGAACGGCAGCACAGUAAGAGCUUGCUCUUACGGGUGGCGAGUGGCGGACGGGUGAGGAAUACAUCGGAAUCUACUUUUUCGUGGGGGAUAACGUAGGGAAACUUACGCUAAUACCGCAUACGACCUACGGGUGAAAGCAGGGGAUCUUCGGACCUUGCGCGAUUGAAUGAGCCGAUGUCGGAUUAGCUAGUUGGCGGGGUAAAGGCCCACAAAGGCGACGAUCCGUAGCUGGUCUGAGAGGAUGAUCAGCCACACUGGAACUGAGACACGGUCCAGACUCCUACGGGAGGCAGCAGUGGGGAAUAUUGGACAAUGGGCGCAAGCCUGAUCCAGCCAUACCGCGUGGGUGAAGAAGGCCUUCGGGUUGUAAAGCCCUUUUGUUGGGAAAGAAAAGCAGCAGGUUAAUACCCCGCUGUUCUGACGGUACCCAAAGAAUAAGCACCGGCUAACUUCGUG
rnacentral:rRNA from 1 species